CUGAAAAAAGAUGUCCACAAACAGCUGUACUCUUUUUCCUGCUUGAUCCGUGCACUAAUAAUUCUACAAGAGACAUCUUAGAAACCUUG